UUGUGGUUUUUACAGGGAAUGGUAUCUCCAUUUAAAGGACCGUAGAAGACGAAUAGAAUUGGCCUUGACCUAAAUUAAAAGGCAAAGUGCAUGUGAGCAUGCCUAAAUUGGAUGGUCAAAUUGUGAAGCUGAUAAGCUGAUCCCAUUCAUUUUAUGAAUAAGCAAAUUAAGACCUUGUUAACUGAAAAGCAACCUACUGGCAGUCUCCC